rnacentral:misc_RNA from 1 species
AAGAGCUACACCAGUUUUUGGAAUUUCAGUUGCCGAGGCAAUGGGCUCCAGUGUUCAGUGAACUUCCUCUUGGUCCACAACGGAAGCGGCAAAAUACAGCAUCUUUGCAAUUUAGUCUCAUGGGGCCUAAGCUUUUUGUGAACAUUACUCCGGUUGAUGUUGGUAAGAGGCCAGUGACUGGCCUUCGGCUUUAUCUAGAAGGUAAAAGAAGCAACCGCUUGGCCAUACAUUUGCAGCACCUUUCAUCUCUUCCAAAUAUCUUUCAGCUCGCAGAUGAUCCACAUGGUAAUUUCCAUCAGGAGUCCUAUGAUCAUAAAUACUAUGAGAAAGUUCAAUGGAAGAAUUUCUCUCAUGUUUGUACUGCUCCUGUUGAGUCUGAUGAGGA